rnacentral:rRNA from 1 species
UUUUUCAAAAACAUGUCUUUUUGAGUAUUAUUUAAGGUCUGGCCUGCCCAAUGAUUAUUUUAAUGGCCGCGGUAUUUUGACUGUGCUAAGGUAGCAUAAUCAUUAGUUUUUUAAUUGAAAGCUGGAAUGAAGGGCUGAAUGAGAAAAAUUCUGUCUCUUAAUUAUUUUGGAAUAAAUUUAUUUUUAAGUAAAAAAGCUUAAAUUAAUUUAAAAGACGAGAAGACCCUAUAGAGUUUAAUAUAAAAGUAAAAUUUUUAUUUUAUUAUUUUUUGAAAGGUUUUAAUUUUGUAUUUAGUUGGGGUGACUAAAAAAUUUAAUUAACUUUUUUAAAAUAUAAACAUUUAUAAAUGAAAUUUUGAUCCAUAUUUAAUGAUUAAUAGAAAAAAUUACCUUAGGGAUAACAGCGUUAUUUUUUUUGAGAGUUCUUAUCGAAAGAAAAGAUUGCGACCUCGAUGUUGGAUUAAAAUUAAUUUUUGGUGAAGAAGCUAAGAAUCUUAGGUCUGUCGACCUUAAAUU